rnacentral:rRNA from 1 species
CUGAGACACGGUCCAGACUCCUACGGGAGGCAGCAGUGGGGAAUAUUGCACAAUGGGCGCAAGCCUGAUGCAGCCAUGCCGCGUGUGUGAAGAAGGCCUUCGGGUUGUAAAGCACUUUCAGCGGGGAGGAAGGCGAUAAGGUUAAUAACCUUGUUGAUUGACGUUACCCGAAGAAGAAGCACCGGCUAACUCCGUGCCAGCAGCCGCGGUAAUACGGAGGGUGCAAGCGUUAAUCGGAAUUACUGGGCGUAAAGCGCACGCAGGCGGUCUGUCAAGUCGGAUGUGAAAUCCCCGGGCUCAACCUGGGAACUGCAUUCGAAACUGG